CCAGCUGAAAAUCCAUUUCGCCAUAAGUCAGAUCGGUAGUCGUCCAUUCCAAAAUAUUGCCUGAAUCUCGAUGUGCUCCUGGGUGCAGAGCUGAUUUGUUCAGAUUUUCCUCUUUUCUGGCUUUUUUUCUCAUUUUCGUUCAACCAAGCGUGGUUUUUUUUUUCUGCCUCUUCUCAUUUCCCCUUCCCUGCGUUUUUGUCAGAGAUUCCGACGAAGUCCGCCCCGCUGCGGCGGAGGAUGAUUCGGCGGUUGGCGCAGGUCGUCGGCGAGCGUGCGGCGGGCGAGGGCAUGCAGGAAGGUACGUCGCGCGCGCCAACGUUGCUCGCUCUUGCCGCUCCUGAGAUCUGCUCGAUUCACGGGACCUCCCAUACCGGGACGUGCCCGAGAGCUCUGCUCGGUCGCUGUGGGGAUCAGGAUAUUAGUUCAAGGAUCGGUGGUUGUGGGAUUGGCGAUGUUCCUGCCUAGGAGACAGUUGAGCUUUUGGCCUGUUAACUAGAUCAUAGGAAAAAUGCACGGGCUAGAUUUGUUUUGCGGUAUUCGUAGAAUCAAUGGAUGGUUCUGGCGACUAGCAGUUUCCGCCUUGCCAGAAGGUUUUGGGGCUGAAGUCAGUAUUGCUCGUUAGUAUUCUGCCACUUGGGAACUUGUUUCAUUUCUAUUUCAGUUUGUUAAAAGCGAAUCUUUUGUCAGUCUUAGGGCCUUGUCACACAAAGUUUCGGCUGGAAUUUGAUGAAUUCAGUCAUAGCCAUGUUUUUGGUCCACGAGGCGGAGGCACAUGAGUUCUCCCACAGUGGAGGUGGCACCGGGGGACACCGCUAGAGCGAGUAGGCAGGGAGGAUCUUCCACUGGAGCGAGUAGGCAUGGAGGAUCUGCCACCGAAGCGAGGAGACGUGGAGGUGCGAGUAGGCCGAGGGCUGGGUUCUUCCAUGGCAAAGUUGCCAUCAAAGAGACCACCUGAUUGAGAAGCCGGGAGGAGCUAGCGCCGUCAGUGUGUUGGGUGUCAGUCUUCUUUGAGUCCUCUGUCUGGUGGAGCUGGGACAGCUUGCAGUACACAUCAACAACUUAUGAUGUAUGAGCUUGGUAAGUUCAUUAGCUCAGUGGUGAGAUGACUUUCUCCUUCUCCUCAUCUAGCUAUGGAGAACUGGAUACUGAUUGCAUGGCGUUCUUCUCAAUGGUUGGCAUAUUCUUGGUGACUGAAGCACGGGAUAAGAAUACAUGGAGAUCUUAGCAAAUAUCCACAGAGAUACCAAAGGGUGGCCACCACUCGUGUUCGAAGUGGCAGCACCUGUGCACUGGUUCAUCUAUAAGAUGAUAUGUAGAUGAACAUCAUCUCAAGCAGUGGUGCUUCUAGUGUUGUGGUGAGAAGCUAUUGAGGGACAUCAUUGCAGCAAGGUGGCAUUGGUACCUGGCUUUUCAAAAUGCUCUCCAGCGGAGGCCAUGGGUUGGAGGGGUGAGGUUCAGCAGGAAUGUCAACCUGAACAAGUUAAUCUUCAAAACAGACUACUCGC